rnacentral:rRNA from 1 species
AGCGAACGCUGGCGGCAGGCCUAACACAUGCAAGUCGAACGAAGUCUUCGGACUUAGUGGCGGGCGGGUGAGUAACACGUGGGAACGUACCUUUUGGUUCGGAACAACUCAGGGAAACUUGAGCUAAUACCGGAUGAGCCCUUAGGGGGAAAGAUUUAUCGCCGAAAGAGCGGCCCGCGUUAGAUUAGCUAGUUGGUGAGGUAAAGGCUCACCAAGGCUACGAUCUAUAGCUGGUCUGAGAGGAUGAUCAGCCACACUGGGACUGAGACACGGCCCAGACUCCUACGGGAGGCAGCAGUGGGGAAUCUUGCGCAAUGGGCGAAAGCCUGACGCAGCCAUGCCGCGUGAAUGAUGAAGGUCUUAGGAUUGUAAAAUUCUUUUACCAGGGACGAUAAUGACGGUACCUGGAGAAAAGCCCCGGCUAACUUCGUGCCAGCCGCCGCGGUAAGAC